AAUCCCCAUGAAGAAUGCUAUGCAUGAUAAAAGUAGUGGGCUGAUCUCCAUUGAUGAAUUCUCAAAUGCUGAGGGAUA